rnacentral:rRNA from 1 species
GAUGAACGCUGGCGGCGUGCUUAACACAUGCAAGUCGAACGAAGCAUUUAAGACAGAUUCUUUCGGGAUGAAGACUUAUCUGACUGAGUGGCGGACGGGCGAGUAACGCGUGGGUAACCUACCCUGUACAGGGGGAUAACAGUUAGAAAUGACUGCUAAUACCGCAUAAGCGCACAGUACCGCAUGGUACAGUGUGAAAAACUCCGGUGGUACAGGAUGGACCCGCGUCUGAUUAGUUAGUUGGCAGGGUAACGGCCUACCAAGACGACGAUCAGUAGCCGGACUGAGAGGUCGAACGGCCACAUUGGAACUGAGAUACGGUCCAGACUCCUACGGGAGGCAGCAGUGGGGGAAUAUUGGGCAAUAGGCGAAAGCCUGACCCAGCGACGCCGCGUGAGGGAAGACGGUCUUCGGAUUGUAAACCUCUGUAGACAGGGACGAAACAAAUGACGGUACCUGUAAAGUAAGCCACGGCUAACUACGUG